rnacentral:rRNA from 1 species
GGCCUUGAAAUACCACCCUUUAAUGUUUGAUGUUCUAACGUAGGCCCCUUAUCGGGGUUGCGGACAGUGUCUGGUGGGUAGUUUGACUGGGGCGGUCUCCUCCUAAAGAGUAACGGAGGAGCACGAAGGUUGGCUAAUCCUGGUCGGACAUCAGGAGGUUAGUGCAAUGGCAUAAGCCAGCUUGACUGCGAGCGUGACGGCGCGAGCAGGUGCGAAAGCAGGUCAUAGUGAUCCGGUGGUUCUGAAUGGAAGGGCCAUCGCUCAACGGAUAAAAGGUACUCCGGGGAUAACAGGCUGAUACCGCCCAAGAGUUCAUAUCGACGGCGGUGUUUGGCACCUCGAUGUCGGCUCAUCACAUCCUGGGGCUGAAGUAGGUCCCAAGGGUAUGGCUGUUCGCCAUUUAAAGUGGUACGCGAGCUGGGUUUAGAACGUCGUGAGACAGUUCGGUCCCUAUCUGCCGUGGGCGCUGGAGAACUGAGGGGGGCUGCUCCUAGUACGAGAGGACCGGAGUGGACGCAUCACUGGUGUUCGGGUUGUCAUGCCAAUGGCACUGCCCGGUAGCUAAAUGCGGAAGAGAUAAGUGCUGAAAGCAUCUAAGCACGAAACUUGCCCCGAGAUGAGUUCUCCCUGACCCUUUAAGGGUCCUGAAGGAACGUUGAAGACGACGACGUUGAUAGGCCGGGUGUGUAAGCGCAGCGAUGCGUUGAGCUAACCGGUACUAAUGAACCGUGAGG